rnacentral:rRNA from 1 species
CCUACGGGUGGCAGCAGUGAGGAAUAUUGGUCAAUGGACGAGAGUCUGAACCAGCCAAGUAGCGUGAAGGAUGACUGCCCUAUGGGUUGUAAACUUCUUUUAUAUGGGAAUAAAAUGUUCCACGUGUGGGAUUUUGUAUGUACCAUAUGAAUAAGGAUCGGCUAACUCCGUGCCAGCAGCCGCGGUAAUACGGAGGAUCCGAGCGUUAUCCGGAUUUAUUGGGUUUAAAGGGAGCGUAGGUGGAUUGUUAAGUCAGUUGUGAAAGUUUGCGGCUCAACCGUAAAAUUGCAGUUGAAACUGGCAGUCUUGAGUACAGUAGAGGUGGGCGGAAUUCGUGGUGUAGCGGUGAAAUGCUUAGAUAUCACGAAGAACUCCGAUUGCGAAGGCAGUUCACUGGACUGCAACUGACAUUGAUGCUCGAAAGUGUGGGUAUCAAACAGGAUUAGAUACCCUAGUAGUC